rnacentral:rRNA from 1 species
UACGUAGGGUGCGAGCGUUGUCCGGAAUUACUGGGCGUAAAGAGCUCGUAGGCGGAUCGAUCAGUCAGGGGUGAAAUCCCAGAGCUCAACUCUGGAACUGCCUUUGAUACUGUCGAUCUGGAGUAUGGAAGAGGUGAGUGGAAUUCCGAGUGUAGAGGUGAAAUUCGUAGAUAUUCGGAGGAACACCAGUGGCGAAGGCGGCUCACUGGUCCAUUACUGACGCUGAGGUGCGAAAGCGUGGGGAGCAAACAGG